rnacentral:lncRNA from 1 species
UUUUGACGUUGGAGACGCGUGGAAGGUCGAAUGGGCGCAUCGAGAUUCAAGACAUUUAUCAAGUAGUUGAUUUGAUUUCCAACUAAUUUAAGUAUUUAAAGUUUUGCUUAGCACAAGUUUUACCUAAUACCUGGAUAUUUUGAUGACAUCUUUAUGUCAUGCUUUGAAAUAAGAGGUUGAUUGUCGAUUUUUUUUUAAAUCAAAGUUAGCCUUUGAGUACAUUAUUUUAAAAGUUUAAUUUUUUAGGGUUUGCUCCCUUUGAAGUGUUUUCAAAAUAUUUUAUUUAAAAAUUUAUUUAUUUGAUAAUAAAUCCAAAUCUUUAUUUUAUGAUAUUUCCGCUGUCAAAAAUUAUGUACAUUCAUAUUUUAAUACGUUAAUUAGAUUAGGGUGUUACAGCAUGGUAUCAGAGCAGGUCUACUUUCCUGUAGACUCUGCAAAAUAAAAUUUUUCUUAAAAUGUUUCAAGUCAAGUGUGACAAGGCCAUUCGACCACUACGCGCUCCGACGUCAAGGUAAAAGUUAUUUUAAAAGUUUUCAAGGGGAUGAGUAUAAACUGUUUAUAUUCCGAAUUUAUGUUAAACUUGCUGCAAUAAUUGAAGUUAUGAUCAGAAAGUUCAAGUUCAUUAUUCAAGUUAUUAUGAGAAAGUUCAGUAUACAAUUCAUCAUGUUGAAGAUUAUUGCAGCUAUGAUUUUAUUUCGGAAUAUUUCAGUUCAUGAUAUUGAAUUACGGGUUUUGAAAUAUUUAUUUUGAACAUCGUCCUCGAAAUAGGAAUAACCUAGAAAUUUUCCUAGAAAAGCUUUGACCUAUAUCCUCUCAAUUCGUAAGUGCGUAGAAACCUAUAUAAAAUGUCCCUGAAUAUAGAUCCAUAAGAAGUACGCAUGCCUAUUCUCGUAGCUAGUGUAGAGAACACUAGCACGAACUACAAGGACGAAGCUAAGCAAAACAAACUCGUCAAACUAGUGGAUGAGAUUUCAAGAAUCAAUUUUGAGUGCAUUACGAGGAUUUGUCCAAACAACAAACCCAAGCUCAGGCUACGCGACCUAAAGUCAACUCAAAUGCUUAACGCGAUGGAUAGUGCUGUCGAAUGAACUACAACUCGCAAUGAUUCGAUAGACCUGAUAGGUAAUUAGCAGUUGAAGAAGGGUUAGAGGAACUAGAACGAGUUUUCACUCAUCUCAAUUGUACCAACGGACAGAAAACAUCAUAUGUUAUCUUUCAACUUGUGGAGGAACUCUGAAACGACGAUAUCUGUGAUGAAAGCAAUGGAGAUAUUAGAUCAAUAUUCUAGGAAGCGCCGUGUAGUAAACAUUGAAGGAAAAGAAGACGAAGAACUUCCCCUCGAGAGUGUGCUAGUGGUACAUGAUUUUUCCUCAGCGUCACCUUGAGGAUCUCGCUUGAAUAUCGCUGCUAGAUAGACAAGUAUAGUUCACGAUCGAUCUAGUACCUAGAGUUGCACCUAUUUCAAAGCAUCAUAUGAUGGCGCCAAAAGAAUUGAAGAAUUAAAUACGCAAUUGCGAGAGCGUUUAGACAUAAGGUUUAUUGUCCAAGCAUGUCGUCCUGGGAAAUGCCAUUCUUAAUGGUCAAGAAGAAAGACGGAACGAAUGAUGUGUGUGUUUAUUGUUUGGGCUAGAUCGACUCACCAUCAAGAGAAAGUACCAUUUGCCACGGGUAGAAGAUUUACUCAAACCAAUUAGAAAGAAGUAGACGUGAUUUCGAAGAUCGACUUGAGAUUGGGUUGCCAUCAAAUUAGGAUAAAAUAGAGUGAUAUAUCGAAGACGACUUUCCAGAUAAGUUAGUCAUAGUUUUCAUCAACAAUAUUUUGAUAUACUUAAGUAACGAUGUGUGACGUGAUGAAUAUUUCAAGAUCGUCUUAUUAACUUUAUGGANAUUUUAAUAAUUUGUGAACUUGAAAAAAAAUUGUGAAAUAAGAUGUGAUAUCGCUUGCAAAAUUAUUACAUAUACUUGAAGACAAUGUAUUAUAAUAUAGUAUUGAAGUUGUUGGGAACUUAAUGAAAUAUCCUAAUCCUAGUUUUGAUGAUACCAAAAUCAAUAGGUUUCAAUUGUAAUAGACUAGAAUUGUUCGAACUCAAGUGUUAGAGUUCUUUUCUAGUUUAGGUGCGGUUCUGAAGACUGGAGAACGAAGGACUGAAGACUGAAGAUGCCGACUGAUGUAACGAUUAAGGCAAAGUCAAAUACUGAUAUUUGACUUAUCAGUCGAAGGAUCAGUUUCGACUGAUUACUUAAUGCAUGCCACGUGGAUUCAGCGGACUGAUACUAAAGUCAAGUAUCAGUUAAACAUUCUUCCUCGGACUGAACCUCCAACGUUCAAAGGAAGCCACGCACUCCAGAAGUACAGCCGCAUUAAAUGCAGAGAUAUCAGUAUCGUCCUUUCUCUGCAGAGGCCAUUCCUUUUUUGUGAUUAUCUUUUCAGAGAUGUCGCAUCUUCUGCUCUUCAAAGUAGCGGUUUGCACCAAACAAGGAACCUCGAAGAUUGAAGCCUCAGCCCAAGUUCAAAUUACUCUCUAACGGAAGAAAUCUUGAAGACCAUCUCCGCCAACGGAUCUAUUCAAGACGUCUCCUAUAAAUUGCGCUCGAGGAUCACUUCAAUCUUCACCGAUUCAACAACAUAAGCUGAAACGCUGCCGAAUUCGUUACUCAGCAAAAUCAAGCCUCCCCAAAGUUUGAAUCGAAGAAGAUAAUUACAAAGCCAAAUAUCAGUCACUGCUGAUUACAUACAUUCUCUUAGACCCUUAGGCAAAUAUUGUAUAUCCAAAGCCUAGGUAAAACUGACUGCAAAGAACUUGUUCUUUGUGGUUUAGUUGGCAAGUUUUCAAACCUCUCUUCAACCAACCGAAUUGAGUGUUUGUGUGGAAAAUGAGUUCAGACCAGUGUUCUAUCUCCGUGAGAUCUUAGUGCCUAGUGUGUGCUAGGAGUGAGAAAUCCAACCCAAUGUGUUGGUACUGAAGAUAGGAUCUUCAGUCAUCUCAGUUUGUGUGCACCUGCAAGCACACGUUCAGGUUUGAUGUGCACACGUAAGCACACGCAUCGUUUUGCAGUGCACCCGUAAGCACUUACCCAGUGAAGUUGUUGGUCUGAUCAACCGACCGUGGAUGUAGGAUGUGUUUUCCGAACCACGUAAAAAUUCUUGUGUUAUUUACAGCUUUCAGUACUUACUUUCUUACUUGUGCUCUUACGUUCAUAAACUGAAAUCUGAUUAAUUGCAAAGAAAAACUUAACGAUUGACAACGUGUUUAAUUUCACAGGCUAUUUUGAAAUAAAAGUUUUCCGAUGCGUGUGUUAUCAGUCUAACUGAUCUAUCUUCAGAUAGUCAGUAAGAUUCAUAUCAUCUCUAUGUUUAUCAAACUCGACUGAAGCCUUACGUUUAUCAGUUAAAGUCUUUGACUUAACUGAUAACUCCUUACUGAAGAGUAUUCAGUAUCAGUCGUCAACCCUGUUUUGACAAAACUCUUUUCAGUAAACAGGUUGAGUCAGUUUGUAUUUAAAGUUUCGUUUUAACUAAGUAAAAUAGCCUAUAGGUGUAUUCCCCCACCCAUACACCUAUUCGAGACCCUCCGGACCUAACAUUAAGUUAUAAUUAUAAGAUUCUUAAUAAGAUGUGUAUAUUGACGUAUGAAUCAGAUGAUUUGUUUGAUGAUACAUUAAUCUAUGUUGGAUAACUACUUAAACUCUUGGCUUGUUUUAUUAGCUAAAGUUCUUUAUUAAUGAAGUUUCAUAUUUUCUUAUAGUCUGGUUGAAAAUUGAUGUUGUGACACAUAUUGCUAAAAAGGGGUCAUUAUCUGACAUUUAUGAAACAUGAAUUUGGAAAAUUUGAUUGAAGUAAACGAAACUUUUGAGGCGAAUAAUCAAUGUUUAAAUUUUCAAUAUAUAUUUAAUUUUAAUAUUUUUGUAUUAUUAUCUUUGACCAACUUAUUAGAUGAUAAAUAAAAUAAAAAAGGUUAGAAAAAAUAAAUAAAUUGCCGACGGCAAAUGUUGUUGGUAAUUACCAUUUGUCGUCUAGUAAUUAGCGGCGGCGGCACCACCGUCGGUAAUUUUGGCCGGACGGCGGUGCUGCUAUCGCUGGAUGUCACCGACGGUGGUGAUUAGCGGCGGCCACAUGCCGCCGGUAAAUAGCGACGACAAUUGCCGUCAGUAAUAAAUAAAUAUUAUUAAAUUAAUUAAUAAUAAAUAUAAAAUAAUAUAUAUUUAAAUUAGCGACAAUUUCAAAAUACGCGUAUUUCAUUUAUUAUAAUAGUGAAUACAACUAAAGUAAAUAAAGUAAUUAUUCGUAGAAUUUUAAUAAAUUAAAUAUUAGAUUAUUGAUUGAUUAAUUGAGAUGAUUGAUAAUAAUGGUGGUGUAAAGCACUCGUAACUAGGGAUGUCAAUACAUUCUGAGUUCCGUGGGCCGCCCUGAUUCCCGCGACCUUCACGAGUGUUAAAGAUGAAAGAAGAAAACGAUAGUUGAGUUUGUCAGGAAGCUCAUUUACCGUCGAUAGAAUUCACGAAUAAUAGCAGUUUUCCAACUACUAUCAACAUAGGCUCUAUACGAGGCAUUAUAUAGGAAAAAGUGUAGGUCAUCUUUACAUUAGGGAUGUAUUUGGCAAACGAUAAGUGUUAGGUCCAAAAAAAAAAAAAAAUCGUGAAAGCAACCAUCGAAGUAAUUGCGAGACAAAAGGAUCAAAAUGGCACGGGACCGAUAGAAGAAAGAAGUUCUAUUUCGACGUUCUAUUUCAAGGUUGGCGGAAGUAUUCUCCUUAAGUAGCACCGAUAAAUAGAGUCCCGUGGUUCAGAAAGAAACGAAAAUUGAGACCUCGAUUUAUAGGUUCGUUUAAAAUUCGAGAACGAAUAUGAUGAUGUAGCCUACCGUCUAGCUUUCACGCUACAACGGUCAGCAGUACAAAUGUGUGUCUCGAGGAUUGCGAAAUACUUGCACGAUUUCAGCCACAUCAUUCAUCAGCGUACAAAAGAGAAGUCAAUCAGUAUACUAGAUCAAAAGUACAAGCUUUACGAAGUCAAGAAGCACCGAUAGUCAAAUAUAGAGUGAACUAGGCACGGACCCCAAGAAACUACAUGAGAAUGAGAAGAGAAAUCCUAGCUCAUUAUUCCCAUUUAGAACCUAUUAAGUUAAAUUUCGAGGACGAAAUUUUUUUAAGUGGGUAGGUUUGUCACAGCCCAAAACCGUUUACUUCCUUUGCAAAUUUUAUUUGGAAAUUAUUAUAUUUUUGAGUUAUUUAUAUAUAUAUUUAUGAGUCGAAUUUAUGAAUAUGUCUAGUCGCGCCACUAGUUGGAUAGAUAAUUUUAAGUUAUAAAUUAUAACUUUAGCAAAUAAAUACUUUUAUGCUCAAAAUUGGGCCUAAAUAAAUAUUUUCAUAAUUGGACCUUAUUAGGCCUUAUUAGGCAUCUAUUUUCAUUUGGGCUUGAAUUGAAUUAGAGCCCAUAAAUUUUAGCAGAUUUCCUUCUCAACAGCAAUUACGUGCCUUUCUUUCAACCACAUUUUUAUGUUUAUUCCUCAGCCACAUUUCUUUAAUUCUUGAGGAGCACGCAUCAUUUUAAUUUAAUAGUCUUGGGCAUCAUGAAAUUCAAUCAAUUUAAAGUUUAUCUACCAAUUUCCACCGCCAUAAUUUUAUAAUCAUUCACGCCUAUAUAUAUAUAUAUACAUCAGAUUCAUCAGCCUUUAUCAUUUUUCACCUUCCUGUGAGACCUCAAACUUGCUCAGCACAUCUCUUCGAUCAUCUCCUUCUAUAGAGCUUCAGUGGGUAAAUUUAUUUUCUGUGAUUUUAAAUCAUCACAGCAACUCUAUUUCUCAUCUUUUGUGUUGUGCAGAAACAAUGAGUAAUUUCUAUUCUUGAAUCAAAUUCAGCAUACACAUGCUUCUCUAAUCCAACAAUUUUCCUAAAUCAUUCAUUUAAUUCAUGAGGAAAAAAGAUAUUGUAAAAAUCAUGUAGAAAACAUAAAAAUGACAGAAAGGGGUUUGAGAUGAAUUGGGUAAAGGCUGUUGUACGGGAAGAGGGUGAGUGCCGCAGGCGGCGCCCUCGCCGGGGGAACUGUGAACGGCGCCGGAUCUAGAGAAGGGAGGAAGACAGCGACGAAGAGUCGCCGGAGAAGGCGCGGCCGCGGCUGCGGCUGAUGCGGCGAGGACAGGGGCAGGGGAGGAGAAAGGGAGAGAGGAAGAAGAGGGAGAGGAGGCGGAGCCGUCGGUCUCCGCCGACGGCGCUGCCGUCCGGUGGCGCGGCGGCAGGAGGCCGAGAGGAAGAGGGCCGAGGGAGGAAGGGAGAGAGGGAGUGAGCAGCUGUGGGUGUGUGCGUGAGUUGUGUGUGUGUGUUGGGUGUGAAAGUCAAAAUGAGGUUUUAAUUAGGGGAGUUGGAAGAGUGGGCUUGGGUUGGGCCUAGGUUGAUCUAUUAAUAAACUCAUACACAUAUUUAAGUGAUUGAGCCCAAAUUUUAUAUAUCUUUUGGACUUCAUAUUUUAAUUUUCAUUAUUAAGUAGGACUUGAUUUUAUUAAAUCCCAACUCAAAUUUUAAUAAGAGCAUGCAUUUUAUUAUUUUGAUUCAUUAGACCAAUUAUUUUCCAAAUGAUUUUAUGAUAGUAAAUUCUUAAGAUUUAAACUAUUAUUAUUAUUAUUAUUUUUAAAGUUCAAAUAGGUCCUUAUACUUUUAUUAUUUGAAUUUAUCUGAUUAGGUGCGGCGCGACUAGGAUAUGGAUUUUAAUUGAAUUACUCAAGUUAGCUUUCAAGUUCAAGUUCAAAGUUUCAGGUGUGGGAUUUAUUUCAGUACAUGCCGUGGUUAAUUGUUGUCCAUUUUAAUAUUAUGUGUUUGCCAUAUGUGUUGUAAAUUCAGUUAUAUCGCUAGGGGCCCGCUCAAUGGGUCCAGGACUUCACCGUCCUUGGUAUGCCACAAUGCGAUUUCAUGUUACAGUUAGGGUUGCAACCUAUUCGCCAGGGGCCUGCUCAAUGGGUCCAGGACUUUAAAGUCCUUGGUAUGCCACCGUGCGAAUUUCAGUUAUCAGUACAGUGCAGUGCGUAUGUGUUGACCAUUUUAUUAACGUGGACAAUUAUUGCAUGUUUCCCACACUGAGUAUAUUCUGUAUGCUCAUCCCAUAUUAAACAUUUCAGGUAUUUUGACGUUGGAGACGCGUGGAAGGUCGAAUGGGCGCAUCGAGAUUCAAGACAUUUAUCAAGUAGUUGAUUUGAUUUUCAACUAAUUUAAGUAUUUAAAGUUUUGCUUAGCACAAGUUUUACCUAAUACCUGGAUAUUUUGAUGACAUCUUUAUGUCAUGCUUUGAAAUAAGAGGUUGAUUGUCGAUUUUUAAAUCAAAG